AACGAACGCUGGCGGCAUGCCUAACACAUGCAAGUCGAACGAGACCUUCGGGUCUAGUGGCGCACGGGUGCGUAACGCGUGGGAACCUGCCCUUAGGUUCGGAAUAACUCCCCGAAAGGGGUGCUAAUACCGGAUAAUGUCUUCGGACCAAAGAUUUAUCGCCUUUGGAUGGGCUCGGGUUGGAUUAGCUAGUUGGUAGGGUAAAAGCCUACCAAGGCGACGAUCCAUAGCUGGUCUGAGAGGAUGAUCAGCCACACUGGGACUGAGACACGGCCCAGACUCCUACGGGGGGCAGCAGUAGGGAAUAUUAGACGAGGGGCGAAAGCCUAAUCCAGCAAUGCCGCGUGAGUGAUGAAGGCCUUAGGGUUGUAAAGCUCUUUUACCCGGGAUGAUAAUGACAGUACCGGGAGAAUAAGCUCCGGCUAACUCCGUG
rnacentral:rRNA from 1 species